ACGGGGAGCAGCAGGCGCGAAACCUUUACACUGCACGACAGUGCGAUAAGGGGACUCCGAGUGCGAGGGCAUAUAGCCCUCGCUUUUCUGUACCGUAGGGAGGUACAGGAACAAGUGCUGGGCAAGACCGGUGCCAGCCGCCGCGGUAAUACCGGCAGCACGAGUGAUGGCCGAUCUUAUUGGGCCUAAAGCGUCCGUAGCUGGCCAGACAAGUUCGUUGGGAAAUCGACGUGCCUAACGCGUCGGCGUCCGGCGAAAACUGUCUGGCUUGGGACCGGAAGACCCGAGGGGUACGUCCGGGGUAGGAGUGAAAUCCCGUAAUCCUGGACGGACCACCGGUGGCGAAAGCGCCUCGGGAAGACGGAUCCGACAGUGAGGGACGAAAGCUGGGGUCUCGAACCGGAUUAGAUACCUGGGUAGUCCCAGCCGUAAACGAUGUCCGCUAGGUGUGGCGCAGGCUACGAGCCUGCGCUGUGCCGUAGGGAAGCCGUGAAGCGGACCGCCUGGGAAGUACGUCCGCAAGGAUGAAACUUAAAGGAAUUGGCGGGGGAGCAC
rnacentral:rRNA from 1 species